rnacentral:rRNA from 1 species
UAGGGAAUAUUGGUCAAUGGGUGCAAGCCUGAACCAGCCAUGCCGCGUGCAGGAAGAAGGCCUUCUGGGUUGUAAACUGCUUUUGCCAGGGGAUAAAAUGACCAUGCGUGGUUAAUUGAAGGUACCUGGUGAAUAAGCCACGGCUAACUACGUGCCAGCAGCCGCGGUAAUACGUAGGUGGCAAGCGUUGUCCGGAUUUAUUGGGUUUAAAGGGUGCGUAGGCGGCCCUGUAAGUCAGUGCUGAAAUCCCCCGGCUUAACCGGGGUGGUGGCAUUGAUACUGCAGGGCUUGAGUACAGAUGAGGUAGGCGGAAUUGACGGUGUAGCGGUGAAAUGCAUAGAUAUCGUCAAGAACACCGAUAGCGAAGGCAGCUUACUGGGCUGUAACUGACGCUGAUGCACGAAAGUGUGGGGAUCAAACAGGAUUAGAUACCCCCGUAGUCC